CCUCUCGUAGUUUAGUGGUAGAACACUGGUGCGUAAAGCCAAAGGUCCCGGGUUCGAUUCCCGGCGGGGGUG
rfam:Agrilus planipennis Contig7676, whole genome shotgun sequence.